rnacentral:rRNA from 1 species
UACGAAGGGGGCUAGCGUUGUUCGGAAUUACUGGGCGUAAAGCGCGCGUAGGCGGUCAUUUAAGUCUGAGGUGAAAGGUUCAGCGCUCAACGUGAACAGUGCCUUGGAUACUGGGUGACUUGAGUUCGGGAGGGGGCAGUGGAAUUCCAGGUGUAGCGGUGAAAUGCGUAGAGAUGUGGAGGAACACCAGUGGCGAAGGCGGCGAUCUGGGUCGAUACUGACGCUGAGGUGCGAAAGCGUGGGGAGCAAACAGG